rnacentral:lncRNA from 1 species
AACAGUCAUGCAGCUGUAGAAAAUGCAGCAGAGGGGAAGGCCACAGGAUCAGUGGGCAGCCUGGCAUCAUGAUUAAGUGGAGAUACCAUCACAGAACACCUGAGACUUAGAGCUACACACAACAGGCUGUGCGGUGAUGUGCUGGGCAACAGAACAUCGAUUUCGACGUCAAAAGACCUUCAUAGUGCUUCCGAAUUCUGACUUACCUUAGGCAAGUGCCUGAACCAAUGGGUUCCUCAGUUUCUCCUUUCUGUUGGAAUUGGGUAAUGUUGAUAUUCACCAACCUGCUCUGCAGCAUAAAAGUCUAAUGGCA